GACAUCUCUUCUCUAUUCUGAUAAUAAUUAAGAAUUGUACAGACAGGUGCAAACAGGAAAUCCUCUUUUACAACCCAGAAUUCACUGCUGACUAUGAGAUUUGGGUACUUGUAAGAAGGAAUAUU